GUAGUACUCCCUCCGCCCGGAAAUACUUGUCAUCAAAAUGAAUAAAAGGGGAUGUAUCUAAAUGUAUAUUAGUUCUAGAUACAUCUUUUUUAUCCAUUAUGAUGACAAGUAUUUUUGUACAGAGGGAGUACUUG
rfam:Triticum aestivum genome assembly, contig: Triticum_aestivum_CS42_TGACv1_scaffold_557292_7AL